UCGGGCCGCGGCGGGGGCGGGCAGAGUGCGAGGCCGGGCGGCGGGGCCCGAGCGGGGCUGGGCCUGCCCGUCGGUGCGCGGAGAGGGGCGGCUGCUGCGCCGGGCCUCGGCCUCGGCCUCCCUGUGAGGCGAUGCCUGGCCCGGGUCUCUGUCGGGUCUGGCGCAGAAAGGGGCACGGCGGGCCGGGCCGGCUGGAGGCCUUUUCUGGCCUGCCACCGCGCUCGCUUGCACUUUAUUUUUCCUUUUUUUUUUUUUAACUAGUACCCGUUCACUAAGUUCUUGGGUCCAAAGAUGUGGCAAGUGGCGUUAGGAAAACAUGCCGCGACCACCGAGCUCGGCGGCUGCCUGCCGGUGCGCCGGCCCGCUGAAUGGGCGCCUUCCCUCGCCUGCGCUUUGUCUGCCACGGCCCUUGGGUUACUGCAUGCAGACGAGGGUUUUUCAGGAAAGAAAUCUCUUUCGCGUUCUUGUUAGCUGUACAGCUUGCAGAAAAUCCAUUCGUACGCGCAGGCUCGGGUGGGGAGUACCUGGCUGCCCCAACCGCGGGUCCGGGGCUGAGCUCAGGAUCCGAAGGGCCUGGUUUCCUUGGGGCGGAUGCCUUCAGCCUGCGUGCUGGUAGAAAUCCAUCAUCCUGUUGAGGCCCAGGUUACAUCUCCGUGUCAGUCACAGGAGCGAGUAGGGAUUGAAAGUAUGUUCUCAUGAGCAAGUGAGGCAGAAAUGCAGAAGAAUGCCUGUGGAGGAGGACAAUGCCCGACUCCACCCAGUUAACUUAGAAAAAAGCGAUUUUGCUGGAGUGCGUGGAUCUAGAAGAUUUGGCCCAUUUCGUUUUGCUGCUAAAGCUACUCAAAGAGUGAACAACAUGACAGCUAUGCUCUGAUGCUGCACAGGGUUACACAAAUGUAAACCAACACAGAGAAAGGCAGCUGGUAUUUUCAAGAGUUUCUUGAAGAGAAACAAUGUGGAAUUCAGAAAACGUGUGAAGAAGAGGUCUUGAGUCCUGGAAGAGCUUUACAACAGCAUCAAAUGAAAAGAUCAAGAUUAUUGAAAUGGUGAGGCAAAGGUAUACUUGGUUCUUCAGAAGCAAGAAACAAAACCCAUUUCAGUGUUCAUUAGGUCAAGACUUCAGUGCUUGACGUGUUGCUUUGACACGGGCUUGGUUAAGACUUGACAGAUGGAGGAAUCAUGAAGGUACCAUAAAGACAAGACAAAGAACUGUUGAGGAAAAUAGAGAACAAAUGAAGAAAUAUUAGCAGCUGAUUAAAAAUUUUCAGGAUGAGAGGCUAAGUGGAACAAGAAACAAUAAUGGUGUUGCAAAAGAGAAAUCAAUUACGGAGAGACAUGUGAAUUGACGGGAGAAGCUGGGUUUGUCUCGUUUGUCCAGGAGACGGUGAGAAAACGACGUCAUCGGUGAGGAAACGACGUCAUCGUGGUCUGUGAGAACCUUUGUGGAGAAUUUCUUCUGUGACUGGAAGCUGGUGCUAUAGGCAAACUUGGAGAAUAAGAACUGACCAUGUGCAAACUGUUGCAGACUGAAAAGAAGGCAAGUAAUCUGGACUGUGGUUGUGUCAAUAUUUGUGUCAAAAAUAUUACCGGG